rnacentral:rRNA from 1 species
CCAUCCCACGUUCGGAUUGCAGGCUGCAACCCGCCUGUAUGAAGUUGGAAUCGCUAGUAAUCGCGGAUCAGCAUGCCGCGGUGAAUACGUUCCCGGGCCUUGUACACACCGCCCGUCACACCAUGAGAGUCGGGAACACCCGAAGUCCGUAGCCUAACCGCAAGGGGGGCGCGGCCGAAGGUGGGUUCGAUAAUUGGGGUGAAGUCGUAACAAGGUAGC